rnacentral:rRNA from 1 species
AGUGAACGCUGGCGGUAGGCCUAACACAUGCAAGUCGAACGGCAGCACAGGAGAGCUUGCUCUCUGGGUGGCGAGUGGCGGACGGGUGAGGAAUACAUCGGAAUCUACCUUUUCGUGGGGGAUAACGUAGGGAAACUUACGCUAAUACCGCAUACGACCUACGGGUGAAAGUGGGGGACCGCAAGGCCUCACGCGAUUAGAUGAGCCGAUGUCCGAUUAGCUAGUUGGCGGGAUAAUGGCCCACCGAGGCGACGAUCGGUAGCUGGUCUGAGAGGAUGAUCAGCAACACUGGAACUGAGACACGGUCCAGACUCCUACGGGAGGCAGCAGUGGGGAAUAUUGGACAAUGGGCGCAAGCCUGAUCCAGCCAUACCGCGUGGGUGAAGAAGGCCUUCGGGUUGUAAAGCCCUUUUGUUGGGAAAGAAAUCCUGUCGAUUAAUACUCGGUGGGGAUGACGGUACCCAAAGAAUAAGCACCGGCCAACUUCGUGCCAGCCGCCGCCGUAAUAC